GAUGAAGAACGUAGCGAAAUGCGAUAAGUAAUGUGAAUUGCAGAAUUCAGUGAAUCAUCGAAUCUUUGAACGCACAUUGCGCCCCUUGGUAUUCCGAGGGGCAUGCCUAUUCGAGCGUCAUUAUCACCCCUCAAGCCUAGCUUGGUGUUGAGGCCUGCUGUCAAGGCAGCCUCUAAAAUCAGUGGCAGUGCUGUCAGGCUCUAAGCGUAGUAAAUCUAAUCGCUAUAGACACCUGGUGGCCACUCGCCAGAACCCCCCCAUUUUUUAAUGAUUGACCUCGGAUUAGGUAGGGAUACCCGCUGAACUUAAGCAUAUCAAUAAGCGGAGGA
rnacentral:misc_RNA from 1 species